rnacentral:rRNA from 1 species
GACGAACGCUGGCGGCGUGCCUAAUACAUGCAAGUAGAACGCUGAAGAGAGGAGCUUGCUCUUCUUGGAUGAGUUGCGAACGGGUGAGUAACGCGUAGGUAACCUGCCUUGUAGCGGGGGAUAACUAUUGGAAACGAUAGCUAAUACCGCAUAACAAUGGAUGACACAUGUCAUUUAUUUGAAAGGGGCAAUUGCUCCACUACAAGAUGGACCUGCGUUGUAUUAGCUAGUAGGUGAGGUAAUGGCUCACCUAGGCGACGAUACAUAGCCGACCUGAGAGGGUGAUCGGCCACACUGGGACUGAGACACGGCCCAGACUCCUACGGGAGGCAGCAGUAGGGAAUCUUCGGCAAUGGGGGCAACCCUGACCGAGCAACGCCGCGUGAGUGAAGAAGGUUGUCGGAUCGUAAAGCUCGGUUGUAAGUCAAGAACGGGUGUGAGAGUGGAAAGUUCACACUGUGACGGUAGCUGACCAGAAAGGGACGGCUAACUACGUG